AUUAGUUCAGCUGGAUAGAAUGUCUGCCUACGGAGCAGAUGGUCGUAGGUUCGAAUCCUGCAU
rnacentral:tRNA from 1 species